rnacentral:rRNA from 1 species
AGAGUUUGAUCCUGGCUCAGGAUGAACGCUAGCGGCAGGCCUAAUACAUGCAAGUCGGACGGGAUUGGAGAGCUUGCUUUCCAUGAGAGUGGCGCACGGGUGCGUAACACGUAUGUAACCUACCCUUAUCAGGGGGAUAGCCUCUCGAAAGAGAGAUUAAGCCCGCAUAAAAUGAAGACACAGCAUUGUGAUUUCAUCAAAUAUUUAUAGGAUAAGGAUGGGCAUGCGGAACAUUAGCUAGUUGGUAAGGUAAUGGCUUACCAAGGCUACGAUGUUUAGGGGAUCUGAGAGGAUGACCCCCCACACUGGUACUGAGACACGGACCAGACUCCUACGGGAGGCAGCAGUAAGGAAUAUUGGUCAAUGGGCGGAAGCCUGAACCAGCCAUGCCGCGUGCAGGAAGACGGCCCUACGGGUUGUAAACUGCUUUUGCAGGGGAAUAAACCUCGGUAUGUAUACCGAGCUGAAUGUACUCUGAGAAUAAGGAUCGGCUAACUCCGUGCCAGCAGCCGCGGUAAUACGGAGGAUCCAAGCGUUAUCCGGAUUUAUUGGGUUUAAAGGGUGCGUAGGUGGCCUGUUAAGUCAGGGGUGAAAGACGGUAGCUUAACUAUCGCAGUGCCC